GCUGCGUUUCUGUGGAGACCACCUGAGAUUUUACAUGUUUAAAUGUCUGUCUGUGUGUCCGUCUGUCUUUUCUGUCUAGAUAUUGCCUACCUGCCUGUCCUGUGUCUGUCUGUCUUGUUUGUCUGUCUGUUUCUGUCUGUUUUGGAUCUUCCCUUCAGCAAGAAGAAUCAGCCAGCAAAAUUCCUUCAGCGCAAAAAAAAAAAUUAAAAAACCACAAAAAAAAAAAAAAAACAGAAAGAUGGAUUGCUACAAAAGUUUGAAAAAAGUGGGAGAGCUUUCCAUUUCAUGUUGCAGGAUUGCAACAGACACCUGUGGAAUACUGGAUGGAUACUGGAAGGAUACUGUGAAAUAGAAGCCAGGACUCACACUUGGUCCUGAGAGGCUUCACAGAGGCCAGCAAUGAAAUUAUGACAUCACGACUGGCAGAAGAUGAAACAGUAUCAGUAGAUAUGAGCAAAUCCAGAGUGGCAGACGUCACUUACCAGGAUGAGAGGUACCUGGCAAUCUGAAACAUCUGUCACCAAAGCGCCGCUUCAAACCCUGGCUAUUCACAGACCGCUAUCCCAAGAUUCAGUGCAGCUGAGGAUGAGGAUGCACAGGACAAUCAUAAAAAUCUCCUCAAGCUCUUCCUCUUGUUGGCCAAAAUAUGAAGUUAAAAGGUUUUCUGGAUGGAUCUGGAGCAGUGAUUAAGGAUGAGAAGCUGCUGCCGUGGCCCCCAGGCUAGGAGGGACUCUUCCUGGGGGACCCUGGGGCCCCGUGGGCCAG